rnacentral:rRNA from 1 species
CUACGGGUCGCUGCGGUCGAGAAUCUUCCACAAUGGACGAAAGUCUGAUGGAGCGACGCCGCGUGAUUGAUGAAGUCCUUCGGGACGUAAAGGUCUUUUAUGAGGGAAGAAGUUUAUUGACGGUACCUCAUGAAUAAGGGGCUCCUAAUCUCGUGCCAGCAGGAGCGGUAAUACGAGAGCCCCGAGCGUUAUCCGGAAUUAUUGGGCGUAAAGGGUGCGUAGGCGGUUUUGUUAGUCGCAUGUGAAAGAUCCGAGCUUAACUUGGGGAACGCACGCGAAACGGCAAGGCUUAGAAUGAAGAGAGGUGUGCGGAACUCAUGGUGUAGGGGUGAAAUCCGUUGAUAUCAUGGGGAACACCAAAAGCGAAAGCAGCACACUGGCCUUUUAUUGACGCUGAGGCACGAAAGCGUGGGUAGCGAAUGGGAUUAGAUACCCCGGUAGUC